rnacentral:rRNA from 1 species
CUACGGGUGGCUGCAGUGAGGAAUUUUGCGCAAUGGGGGCAACCCUGACGCAGCAACGCCGCGUGAGUGAAGAAGGCCUUUGGGUCGUAAAGCUCUGUCGACAGGGAAGAAGUUAUUGUUGUUUAACAGAUGACAGUAUUGACGGUACCUGUAGAGGAAGCACCGGCUAACUCCGUGCCAGCAGCCGCGGUAAUACGGGGGGUGCAAGCGUUAUUCGGAACUAUUGGGCGUAAAGGGCGCGUAGGCGGUCUUGUCGGUCAGAUGUGAAAGCCCAGGGCUCAACCCUGGACGUGCAUUUGAAACAGCAAGACUUGAGUACGGGAGAGGAAAGCGGAAUUCCUGGUGUAGAGGUGAAAUUCGUAGAUAUCAGGAGGAACACCGAUGGCGAAGGCAGCUUUCUGGACCGAUACUGACGCUGAGGCGCGAAGGUGUGGGUAGCGAACGGGAUUAGAUACCCCCGUAGUC